rnacentral:rRNA from 1 species
UACGAGGGGGGCAAAUGUUGUUCGGAUUUAUUGGGCGUAAAGGGUGCGUAGGCGGUUGCCUAAGUCUGGUGUGAAAUCUCGGGGCUCAACCUCGAAACUGCACUGGAUACUGGGUAACUUGAGUACUGGAGGGGAGACUGGAAUUUACGGUGUAGCAGUGAAAUGCGUAGAUAUCGUAAGGAAGACCAGUGGCGAAGGCGAGUCUCUGGACAGUUACUGACGCUGAGGCACGAAGGCCAGGGGAGCAAACGGG